GUGCUUGCUUCGGCAGCAUAUGUACUAAAACUGGAAUGAUGCAAAGAUUAGCAUGGCCGUUGCGCAAGAAUGACACACAAAUUCAUGAAACAUUCCAUAUUUUU
ensembl:snRNA U6 U6 spliceosomal RNA